CUGGCCCCGCGCAGGGUGUGGGGCGGCGGGUCGCUGCGCCGGCGGCUCUCGCGCCUCUCCCGCUGUGCCCUUCUGCUGCGCCCCGCCGCGGCCCCGGAUCGCCCGUAGAUGCGGGAGCCGGGUGAGGCGGCAGAAAUAAGGAGCUUUGUGCAGAUAAAUGGUCACACCUGACUGAAAUGCUCAUGAAGACACCUCAGGAAUGAAGAAGUGCCUCUGCUGAAAAAGUCCUCAAGAAUGUAUUUAUAAUUAUCAGAUGCCUAGAUGUACUUCAUAGAACUUGCAAGACACUUUGACAUGAAUCUCCUUGAAGAGUGACAAAUUCCCAGGGGGAAAAAUGAACAAAAUAUAAGAUUCAAACUUGCAGCUCCUGCUUUGAUGAAAGUGUAGUAGUGAUUACUGAUUUCAUCCAUGGUCAUUUAAUUGUUUUCUGUAAUGUAUCAUGUCUCAAAAAACAAUAAGAUAAGUAAUGGCUAGGACAGCACAACAGUUGGUAGCUUCAGUUUGCAUGGUUAAAGUUUUGACCCAGCUUAUGUUUCAGUUCUGAAAUGGAAUAAAACUAGUGUCAUUCAUCUUUGAAUUUACUUUGAAUAACAUAUUUGGGGAAUUUUUAUACUAUAUUCAACUAAUAAAGAAUUUUGUAGUACAAUG